rnacentral:piRNA from 1 species
UGAAUCUAGAUAGCAUGGACAAAU